rnacentral:rRNA from 1 species
UACGUGAGGUGCAAGCGUUAAUCGGAAUUACUGGGCGUAAAGCGUGCGCAGGCGGUUGUGCAAGACAGAUGUGAAAUCCCCGGGCUCAACCUGGGAAUUGCAUUUGUGACUGCACGGCUAGAGUGUGUCAGAGGGGGGUAGAAUUCCACGUGUAGCAGUGAAAUGCGUAGAGAUGUGGAGGAAUACCGAUGGCGAAGGCAGCCCCCUGGGAUAACACUGACGCUCAUGCACGAAAGCGUGGGGAGCAAACAGG